ACGUAGGGGGCAAGCGUUAUCCGGAUUUACUGGGUGUAAAGGGAGCGUAGACGGCAGUGCAAGUCUGAAGUGAAAGCCCGAGGCUCAACCCCGGGACUGCUUUGGAAACUGUGCAGCUAGAGUGUCGGAGAGGCAAGCGGAAUUCCUAGUGUAGCGGUGAAAUGCGUAGAUAUUAGGAGGAACACCAGUGGCGAAGGCGGCUUGCUGGACGAUGACUGACGUUGAGGCUCGAAAGCGUGGGGAGCAAACAG
rnacentral:rRNA from 1 species